AGAUGCUAAAUACUACUCAAAAGACCUACAUAUAUGCUAGAAGCCUGACUAUCUAUAGCGACUGGAGAAAAGAAAGAUGCAUGUAUUACACUAAGGUAGACUUGAAUGAGACGGACUAUGACUUCAAUUUAUUCAUGCCCUUCCUCAAGAACCCCGAUAUGCGAGACCGACAAAGUGAACUUGCAUUGAGCCAGGCUGAACCCAUCCAUUUACAUGCAAAACUGGGAAAUGGUACUGAAGAUCCGGGUCCCUAUAUGCAGGUAGACGAUUGGCCUGGGCUUGGGAACAUCACAAAAAAACUUUGGUUGUACAGUUACCCUGGACAAUGUGGCAUUAUGAUAUUUCCGUGGCAAGGGAGGAUCCACUGUGAGGUCCAUGUGCGACAACAAGGACUUCCGAGACGAGGUAGCCACACCAUAUACCAUAUUUGUGAACGACUUUUUAGGGUACUUUGUAGUGAUGAUUAUAUGCACAUUAUUUACGGUGACGACUGUAGAACGAAACAGAAUAAAUAAUUAUAGAUGCCGCUUUCCUUUUGUAGGCUUGUAUUAGACGAAGUAAGAUUGAAUAAAGAAAUCAGUUUUCUAUAGGUUGGAAAAUUAUCGUUAUUACGAACACAAAAUAAAACGAAAUGGUGCAGCAAAUAAAGUGAUGUGAAAGACGGCUCAAAAUAUGUAA